GAUGAACGCUGGCGGCGUGCCUAAUACAUGCAAGUCGAGCGAACAGAUGAGGAGCUUGCUCCUCUGACGUUAGCAGCGGACGGGUGAGUAACACGUGGAUAACCUACCUAUAAGACUGGGAUAACUUCGGGAAACCGGAGCUAAUACCGGAUAAUAUAUUGAACCGCAUGGUUCAAUAGUGAAAGACGGUUUUGCUGUCACUUAUAGAUGGAUCCGCGCCGCAUUAGCUAGUUGGUAAGGUAACGGCUUACCAAGGCAACGAUGCGUAGCCGACCUGAGAGGGUGAUCGGCCACACUGGAACUGAGACACGGUCCAGACUCCUACGGGAGGCAGCAGUAGGGAAUCUUCCGCAAUGGGCGAAAGCUUGACGGAGCAACGCCGCGUGAGUGAUGAAGGUCUUCGGAUCGUAAAACUCUGUUAUUAGGAAAGAACAAAUGUGUAAGUAACUAUGCACGUCUUGACGGUACCUAAUCAGAAAGCCACGGCUAACUACGUG
rnacentral:rRNA from 1 species